AACUGAUACUACCUGCGGGAACCUGCGGAGGGAUCAUUAUUGAAAUAACUGAGUGUUCUGGCUGAUUCUGUUGCUGGCCCUUCUAACAAAGGACAUGUGCACGUUUACGCUGGGGCACCUUUAUUAUCAUCCACCUGUGCACAUUUUGUAGUUGUUCUGGCUAGGCCGGCCCUCAAGUCGAAAGACUUGUUUGUUGACUUGGUUAAGACUGCUAUGUCUUUACAAACUUAUUGAAGCAUG
rnacentral:misc_RNA from 1 species